GAUCAGGGCUCAGGACGAACGCUGGCGGCGUGCUUAACACAUGCAAGUCGAACGAGAAUCUGUGGAUCGAGGAUUCGUCCAAGUGAAGCAGAGGACAGUGGCGGACGGGUGAGUAACGCGUGAGGAACCUGCCUUUCAGAGGGGGACAACAGUUGGAAACGACUGCUAAUACCGCAUGAUACAUUUGGGUGGCAUCAUCUGAAUGUCAAAGAUUUAUCGCUGAAAGA
rnacentral:rRNA from 1 species